AGGAAAAGAAACUAACAAGGAUUCCCCUAGUAACGGCGAGUGAAGAGGGAAAGCUCAAAUUUUAAUCUACCUGGUCCUCCAGGUCGAAUUGUAAUUUGAAGAAGCGAUAUCAGUGUGGAGAUCUGGUCUAAGUUCUUUGGAACAAGACAUCAUGGAGGGUGAGAAUCCCGUGCAUGAUCAGAUCAAAAUACUUAAUAUUCGUUUUCUAAGAGUCGAGUUGUUUGGGAAUGCAGCUCAAAAUGGGUGGUAGACUUCACCUAAGGCUAAAUAUCAGCGAGAGACCGAUAGCGAACAAGUACUGUGAAGGAAAGAUGAAAAGAACUUUGAAAAGAGAGUUAAAUAGUACGUGAAAUUGUUGAAAGGGAAACGAUUGAAGUCAGUCAUGCCAGUGAAAAUUCAGUUUGGCGGAUUUUGGGUUUUCUGGACUCGGGAUAUGUCAGAUGGAUUUUUUYUUUGGCAGGUCAGCGUCGAUUUCGGGGGUUGUAAAAUAUUUGGGGGAAAGUAGCUCUGCUUCGGGAGAGUGUUAUAGACCCUGGAAGAUGCAGCCUGCGGGAUCGAGGAUUGCAGCAAAUGCCUUUGGCUUGUCGCCUGAUCUCUGGACGUUACCUCGUUUUUGACAACAUUCUUGUCACUGGUGGGUACUAAUGGCCAUUAGGUUAGAGCGAUCGAAAAUAUUGCUAAGGAUGUUGACGUAAUGGCUUUAAACGACCCGU
rnacentral:rRNA from 1 species